rnacentral:rRNA from 1 species
AUGAACGCUGGCGGCGUGCCUAAUACAUGCCAGUCGAGCGCACAGACGAGGAGCUUGCUCCUCUGACGUUAGCGGCGGACGGGUGAGUAACACGUGGAUAACCUACCUAUAAGACUGGGAUAACUUCGGGACACCGGAGCUAAUACCGGAUAAUAUAUUGAACCGCAUGGUUCAAUAGUGAAAGACGGUUUUGCUGUCACUUAUAGAUGGAUCCGCGCCGCAUUAGCUAGUUGGUAAGGUAACGGCUUACCAAGGCAACGAUGCGUAGCCGACCUGAGAGGGUGAUCGGCCACACUGGAACUGAGACACGGUCCAGACUCCUACGGGAGGCAGCAGUAGGGAAUCUUCCGCAAUGGGCGAAAGCCUGACGGAGCAACGCCGCGUGAGUGAUGAAGGUCUUCGGAUCGUAAAACUCUGUUAUUAGGGAAGAACAAAUGUGUAAGUAACUAUGCACGUCUUGACGGUACCUAAUCAGAAAGCCACGGCUAACUACGUG